AUUGAACGCUGGCGGCAUGCCUUACACAUGCAAGUCGAACGGCAGCACGGGAGCAAUCCUGGUGGCGAGUGGCGAACGGGUGAGUAAUAUAUCGGAACGUGCCCAGUCGUGGGGGAUAACGCAGCGAAAGCUGUUCUAAUACCGCAUACGAUCUAUGGAUGAAAGCGGGGGAUCGCAAGACCUCGCGCGAUUGGAGCGGCCGAUACCAGAUUAGCUAGUUGGUGGGGUAAAGGCCCACCAAGGCGACGAUCUGUAGCUGGUCUGAGAGGACGACCAGCCACACUGGAACUGAGACACGGUCCAGACUCCUACGGGAGGCAGCAGUGGGGAAUUUUGGACAAUGGGCGCAAGCCUGAUCCAGCAAUGCCGCGUGCAGGAUGAAGGCCUUCGGGUUGUAAACUGCUUUUGUACGGAACGAAACGGUCUGCCCUAAUACGGUGGGCUAAUGACGGUACCGUAAGAAUAAGCACCGGCUAACUACGUGCCAGCAGCCGCAGUAA
rnacentral:rRNA from 1 species